UUACCCCAUCUACUACUAAACUAAUUAACUAAAAUUCAACCAGGAUUAAAUAAAAAUAGAAAAAUAAAUAAAUUUGGCCAUGUGAUCGUCUAGUGUAUUUACGUUGUGAACCUUAGUACCCUUCGUCUUUUAUGUGAAAACUGAUACGAUUUGGAUUUUUCAAAACUAUCCCUAAAUAUCCUAUGAAUUUAUAAAUAUUCCUACUGUAUAUUUUUAUUAACACUAUUGUUAGGCAAAUAAAAAAAUAGUAAAUAAUAUAUAUUUUUAGAAUUUAUCUCCUACCGGGCCCUACCGUGACCAGUUACCGUGAACAGUAACGAGAAGAAACGCCAAGAAACUCAUCUGAAUGUACUAUUAAUGUAUGGAAUACUGAAAACAAUCGUCUAUUAAAUAUGACUUUAUUUACCCUUUAAUUCCCCAGUUAUAGAAAAGCUCAAUUGUCACUAGUGAACUGCUCCGCCUGUCACUAGCUCCCUAUAACAAAAUUAUUUAGUAUGUCCUCAAAUAACUUUGUUCCCCUAUCUCACCCAAUGUAAAAAUAUAUAAACCUUCAAUCAUAUUUAAUGUACGAGCCUCAGUAACCCAUCCAUAUGCUACUGAAAAUAGAUUUUAAUUUAUUUUGUAAUUAAAAACAGUUAAAACUCUAAUGAUUUUAGUUUUGUAUACAAUCAAACUAAAUGUGAAAGAAAAUAAAUAAACCUAACACCCAAAUAA